rnacentral:misc_RNA from 1 species
UACGGGGGGGGCAAGCGUUGUUCGGAUUUACUGGGCGUAAAGGGCGCGUAGGCGGUCUGUUAAGUCGGAUGUGAAAACUCUGGGCUCAACCCAGAGCCUGCAUCCGAUACUGGCAGGCUAGAGUGCGAGAGGGGAAAGCGGAAUUCCUGGUGUAGCGGUGAAAUGCGUAGAUAUCAGGAGGAACACCGGCGGCGAAGGCGGCUUUCUGGAUCGCAACUGACGCUGAGGCGCGAAAGCUAGGGGAGCAAACAGG